CCUACGGGCGGCAGCAGUGGGGAAUAUUGGACAAUGGGGGGAACCCUGAUCCAGCGACGCCGCGUGAGUGAAGAAGUAUUUCGGUAUGUAAAGCUCUAUCAGCAGGGAAGAAAGAAUUGACGGUACCUGACUGAGAAGCCCCGGCUAACUACGUGCCAGCAGCCGCGGUAAUACGUAGGGGGCAAGCGUUAUCCGGAUUUACUGGGUGUCAAGGGAGCGUAGACGGUUACGCAAGUCAGGAGUGAAAGGCGGGGGCUCAACCCCCGGACUGCUUUGGAAACUGUAUAACUGGAGUGCAGGAGAGGUAAGUGGAAUUCCUAGUGUAGCGGUGAAAUGCGUAGAUAGUAGGAGGAACACCAGUGGCGAAGGCGGCUUACUGGACUGUAACUGACGUUGAGGCUCGAAAGCGUGGGGAGCAAACAGGAUUAGAUACCCUGGUAGUC
rnacentral:rRNA from 1 species